GGCGGCGUGCUUAACACAUGCAAGUCGAACGAAGCAUCUCUCCCGAAGAUUGAAGUAGCUUGCUACAGAUUGAUUCAUUGAGAUGACUUAGUGGCGGACGGGUGAGUAACGCGUGGGUAACCUGCCUCAUAGAGGGGGACAACAGUUGGAAACGACUGCUAAUACCGCAUAACAUGUGACUGUCACAUGACAGACACAUCAAAGCUUUUGCGCUAUGAGAUGGACCCGCGUCUGAUUAGCUAGUUGGUAAGGUAACGGCUUACCAAGGCGACGAUCAGUAGCCGGCUUGAGAGAGUGAACGGCCACAUUGGGACUGAGACACGGCCCAGACUCCUACGGGAGGCAGCAGUGGGGAAUAUUGCACAAUGGGGGAAACCCUGAUGCAAGCGACGCCGCGUGAGUGAAGAAGUAUUUCGGUAUGUAAAGCUCUAUCAGCAGGGAAGAUAAUGACGGUACCUGACUAAGAAGCCCCGGCUAACUACGUGCCAGCAGCCGC
rnacentral:rRNA from 1 species